rnacentral:hammerhead_ribozyme from 1 species
GCACUGCUGAAGAGUCCCAUACUAGGAUGAAACGGCCGUCUAGUGC